ACUCCUACGGGAGGCAGCAGUGGGGAAUAUUGCACAAUGGGGGAAACCCUGAUGCAGCCAUGCCGCGUGUGUGAAGAAGGCCUUCGGGUUGUAAAGCACUUUCAGCGAGGAGGAAAGGUUGAUACCUAAUACGUAUCAGCUGUGACGUUACUCGCAGAAGAAGCACCGGCUAACUCCGUGCCAGCAGCCGCGGUAAUACA
rnacentral:rRNA from 1 species